ensembl:processed_transcript predicted gene, 16731
CUCGGCCAGGCCCACCGGGUGGCCGCGGUGCGCACCCAGAACCGGGCAGAGCGCGCACACACAGCGGCCGCAGCGGCGACAGAAGAGCUCAGCCGGGCGUUCGCUGUGCUCCGGACAGCGCCAGCCAUACGCCCCGUCGGGCUGAAAGGGCGCCCGCGCCUCGGUACAAGGAAUUUAAGAAACAUUCAAACAAUCACUCAAACGGCUUCAGGCACGGUUUCAUAUGAAAAGCAUAGGUCCGUAUCUUGAUUCCCAUUUCCCUCUGGGAUACAACCUCAAGUUUUGUUCUAGGAAGCAGAAUUAUUGUAGAGCUAAGAGCCUAUCGGUGUCCCUGAGGGCAAGGGUGGAGGAGAGCACUGCUCAGAGCUGUCCUAAGGCCAUCCGCAGGUUUUUGAUCUCUAGUUCCAGCUGCUUGGUCUGGACUUCUCUCUGGAUUAACAGCUCCCGGAGCCUCCGGAUCUCCUCCUGUUGCCGGUAGAACAUCUGCAGCAGCUGUGAAGCACAGUGAAGAGGGAGAGGUCAUCUGGGUGGCCGGGAUAGGCCACAGCACAGAGGCUGAGGCAUACACUUCUGACUUGGUGACAGCCGUUAAAUUAUUAGCAAGGGACAGUCACUUCUGAGCCGUGACGAAAGCCUUGCUUGCUUUACCCAACAGUGAAGUUCCGGACUCUGUAGUCAAUUUUAACAAUGCAGCAGGAUCUAGAAUCACCUAUGGAGUUUCUAGAUUGAUCCAUCCUAACUGUGGGUAGCAUUAACAAAUGGGAUGGGAUCCUGGGCUGAAAGCUGAGUGCCAGCAUCUAUCUCUGUCUGCCUCCGGCUUGUGGAUACCAUGUAACCCGCUGCCCUAAGCUCCUGCUGCUGCUGCCUUCCUUCACCAUGCUGGGCUGUGCCCUGGAACUGUGAACCCAAAUAAACUUCCUUUAAGUU